AUUGAACGCUGGCGGCAGGCCUAACACAUGCAAGUCGAACGAGUGGCGGACGGGUGAGUAAUGUCUGGGAAACUGCCCGAUGGAGGGGGAUAACUACUGGAAACGGUAGCUAAUCCCGCAUACCAUCGGAUGUGCCCAGAUGGGAUUAGCUUGUAGGUGAGGUAACGGCUCACCUAGGCGACGAUCCCUAGCUGGUCUGAGAGGAUGACCAGCCCACCUGGAAAUGAGACACGGUCCAGACUCCUACGGGAGGCAGCAGUGGGGAAUCUUGGACAAUGGGCGCAAGCCUGAUGCCGCCAUUCCGCGUGGAAGAAGAAGGGCUUCGGGUUGUAAAGGACUUUUAGCAGGGAGGCGUUACCCGCAGAAGAAGCACCGGCUAACUCCGUGCCAGCAGCCGCGGUAAUUC
rnacentral:rRNA from 1 species